CCUACGGGUGGCAGCAGUGAGGCAUAUUGGUCAAUGGGCGAGAGCCUGACCCCGCCAAGUCGCGUGCAGGAUGAAGGAUCUAUGGUUUGUAAACUUCUUUUAUAUGGUAAUAACGUGCGGAACGUGUUCCUUUUUGUAUGUACCAUAUGAAUCAGCAUCGGCUAACUCCGUGCCAGCAGCCGCGGUAAUACGGAGGAUGCGAGCGUUAUCCGGAUUUCUUGGGUUUAAAGGGUGCGUAGGUGGUUUAUUAAGUCAGCGGUGAAAUGUUGUGGAUCAACCAGAAAAUUGCCGUUGAAACUGGUGGACUUGAGAAUAGUUGAGGUAGGCGGAAUGCGUGGUGUAGCGGUGAAAUGCAUAGAUAGCACGCAGAACUCCGAUUGCGAAGGCAGCUUACUAAACUAUAACUGACACUGAAGCACGAAAGCGUGGGGAGCAAACAGGAUUAGAUACCCGAGUAGUC
rnacentral:rRNA from 1 species